CACCCGGGAUCAGCAGCUGUCCUCCCGGCUGAGGAGCCAGACCCUGCCCGCCAGCAGCCCGGCACUGCAGCACCUGAGGCCCCCCAGCUCCACGCGUCUCACAGCGCUGCUGCUGCACCAGGAGCCGCAGCAACCCAGCACGGCAGCGCUGCUCGGCAGCACGCUACGAAGGAGGGUGGAGAAGACGAAAUGCAAACAAAAGCCACAAGCAACUUCAGCUACUCUAUCAAUGGUAGCAACUGCACCAGCGAUAACAGAAUCAGACAGGUCAUCUUCCCCUUGCUUUAUACUCUUCUCUUCCUGGUGGGCCUCACUAUGAAUGGCCUGGCAACGUGGAUCUUCUUCAAAAUAUCAAGUAAAUCCAAUUUCAUCAUCUUCCUCAAGAAUACUGUCAUUUCUGACAUCCUCAUGAUUCUGACUUUUCCAUUUAAAAUCCUCAGCGACGCACAGUUGGUACCGUGGGUGCUGAGAGGAUUCGUGUGCCAGGUCAGCCAGGUCGUGUUUUACUUCACCAUGUACAUCAGCAUCUUGUUCCUCGGGCUGAUAACCAUCGACCGCUAUCAGAAAGCCACCUCGCCAUUCAGAACAUCAACCACAAGGAGCCUUCGAGGCGCCAAGAUCCUCUCCAUGGCUAUUUGGAUAUCGAUGUUUACUCUUUCAUUACCCAACAUGAUUCUAACAAACAAGAAAAAAACACCUAAGAACGUAAAAAAGUGUGCCCUCUUGAAAUCUGAGUUUGGCUUAGUCUGGCAUGAAAUCGUAAACUACAUCUGCCAACUUAUCUUCUGGGUUAAUUUAGCAGUCAUAGUUGUAUGCUACAUACUUAUAAGCAAAGAAUUGUAUAAGUCCUAUCAGAGGACAAGAUCCACGGGAAGACCAUCCAGAAAAUCUGUAAAUCUGAAGGUUUUCAUCAUAAUCGCAGUGUUCUUUAUAUGUUUUGCACCAUUCCACUUUACCAGAAUUCCCUACACUUUGAGCCAAACAAGAAAUGUUUUUGACUGCUCUGCAGUGAACACCCUGUUUUACUUAAAGGAGAGCACGCUGUGGCUGACAUCGCUGAACGCUUGCCUAGAUCCAUUCAUUUACUUCUUCCUUUGCAAGUCGUUUCGAAAGUCCUUGCUAGGCAUGCUGUGCAAGGCCACCGCAUCGCCAGAACUCGGAGCACAGACAGCAGGGCAGAACGGAGGAGACGACACUGAGGAUACCCCACUUUAGCACAAAGGACCUGCCACAGCCCUGCCUGGCCACGUACGUUUCCCUGGGGUUGGGGAGCAGAAGGAUCCUGCUAAGGCUAACCACAAUUUCACCUGCGCCUUCACAAUCUGCCCUGCAGAUGAAACACAGAUCCAUGGAACCAACAUCGCCAGUUGCAGGAAGGACAAAAAUUAGAACAACUGAAUACAACAAGGGCACCAUCUGCUCACAGGCUCCACGUCUGACGGAGUUGCUGGGAAAAAGUUUGAAUUUAUAGCUGGAGCUGUAAGAAAAAAAUAAACCAGAGUCACAGAAUGCUACUGAACAGAAGAUGAGCUGCAGAGAUUUUGCAGAAGCAGCUUAACUUGGGCCAGGGGAAAGCCCAUGACAACAAAGGAAUGGAUGUAAAUAAACCCCAUAACAAAUGCAGCUUUUCAGUACGGGAAGUUGCCACUUAGUAUGCAAUCAUCAGACAAACAGAAAUGCAGCACAUCUGUAGUCUACUUUGAGAAUUGGAGACUUUGCAAACCAGAGUACCAGCAGUGGCUCCAGCAGAGCGCCCAGCUCUGCACCGUGACACCACAGCCACCCACCGGCUCUUCCCAGCGCUCUGCACGCUCGGCUUCCUGCUGGACUCACACUGAACAGCCUGGCCAUAUGGGCUUUCUUCCAUACUCCAAGUACAUCGACUUUCAUUGUCUACCUGAACAAUAACUUAGUA